CCGGCAUUCACAUCGGAGUUACCUGCAUCGUGUUCUGCGUCCUCUUCCUCAUCUUCAGCUACCGUGGCAGGUUAAUGAUGUGUAAGAGCGUUCAAGCCACCCCUCAGGCUGGGCAUAGCGUCGUGCUGGAAUCCUCCUCCUCUUCCCAGGGGGCCUCCAGGCUCAACGGCACUGCCAGGAGAGAGAUGGAGGUCAAUGGCAGCACAGCAGGGAAAAAAGUAGUAGACGGCAACGAGCUCGAGAGACUUUUCACUCAACCCACCACACAAGAUACACACAUGUCCGACUCCUACAUGCUGAACGAAACCCAGGUGUCGACGAUACCACUGGACGAAUUCCACAUGCAGAGUGAGGGACAGUUUGAGGAACCUCCUGCAGCAGAAGCAGCUCUGCCAGACCAAGGCUGAUCUUGUAUGAAGGCCAACUUCACUCGACACUUGACGGGUGUCGUCUUAGACUCUUCUCUCU
rnacentral:lncRNA from 1 species